AGCAAACUCAUCAAAGAAAGGCUUAUUGUGCCAAAUAAAUUGGUUUAUAGUUUCUUCUUCUCUAUCCUAUAUAAGGCACUGAAAUCUAAGUGCUUUUCACUCCUCAAAGAUCCCAUUUCCUUUCCUGGGUCCAGGACGAGAAGAAUGGCUACUGAGAAAUGCAAUGCUAAGACUUCAGAUGCCAGUUUCACCAUGCAGGAGGAUUCUAUUCAACUAUCAUCAAGUGUUAAACGUUUUGAAAAUUGUCACUUUGAAAAAGCGCUAGCAUACAGAGCAGUUUACGGUGGUAGUGGUAGCCGUGGCAGUACUGAAUGCAGUGGAAGCAGAAAAGCCAGAGACAAUGGUGCUAAGACAUUGCCAAGCAGGCUCAGCAAGGUCUCAGUUGCUAUCGAUUAUGCAGAUAAUUAAGUACCUUGAAAAUACUAUGUCCACUUCUAGUAGCUAUAUUCAUAUGAUUUAGUGCACUAUCUGUACCAUUAUUUACAUGUAUGGCAUUUAUUUAUAUGUAGAUUUUAAAAUAGAAACUAGGAUAGUGUGGUGCACACAAGUGAUUCUAAAAUCCUUUCGUGCAUAGCAGAAAUAUAUCAUUCACAGUAUCAUGUCUAAGAAACCACCCAUAGUGGCAUUUUUUACUCAAUGUAUUUAUUGUGUUUUUUUGUUCACUCUUGAUUUGAGGAUAAGGUUGUCUCCAACCAUGUCCCAAAGUCUCCUAAAUCAAUCACAAUAUAUCUCAUUAGUUAAAAAUAUUAAAUAAUGAUGAUUUUGUCUAUUUUUAUUUCAUUGUUUGUUUGAG
rnacentral:lncRNA from 1 species